rnacentral:lncRNA from 1 species
UUGGAUCUUGUGACUAGCACUUCCUUCCUGCCGGGUGUGGCAGUUGGGUCUUGUGACUAGCACUUCCUUCCUGCCCUGUGGGACUUGCUUCUGGGUAUUGGAGGAGAGAGGAGCUUGUUCAGCCCAGUCUGGAGUGGCAUGCUCUUCUUGGUUCAGCCCAAAGUGAAGGUGAAGGGUCCUGGAAACAGUUUUAUUGGUUCCAAAGACCCUGGUUGAUGCAUGCCUCAGAACUGAAGGAGUUGAAUGAAUGCCUCAGAGUAGAGCAGCCCUGGGUCCUAUGGGCAGGAACUUAAGCCUCAAUGCCAACAAAGGACUUUGGAGGCCUGAGAAACUGGGACUGGACAUCCGUCCAGAACUGAGAGGAUUGGACAGGAUUUCCCAGUGACAUGGCUGGGGGCCCUAAUGGCAGCCUCAGAAUAGCAAGCUACAUGGAGCAUUGAGGUAAGUAUAUCUUUCUCUUAUUUUCCCAUCUUUUCCCCAUACUACUUUUGAUUAAUAAAAUUAUUAAUU